rfam:Mycobacterium triviale strain HMC_M3 PROKKA_contig000005, whole genome shotgun sequence.
CGAGUUGGCCGGGCGGCCGCGGCCCGUGGGGCGGCUUUCGGGUCCACCCAGCGGGUCGAGGAAAGUCCGGACUUCACAGAGCAGGGUGAUUGCUAACGGCAAUCCGAGGUGACUCGCGGGAAAGUGCCACAGAAAACAGACCGCUGUCCGACCCGGUCGGCCAGUAAGGGUGAAACGGUGCGGUAAGAGCGCACCAGCAUCCCGGGUGACCGGGAUGGCUCGGCAAACCCCACCCGAAGCAAGGCCAAGAAGGCCGCGGCUUGCGCCGUGGUCGCGCAGACGUUCAAGGGUUGCUCGCCCGAGUCUGCGGGUAGGCCGCUUGAGGCACCCGGCGACGGUGUGUCCAGAUGGAUGGUCGCCGCCGCGCCGCCAGUGAUGGCGGCACGGAACAGAAUCCGGCUUACAGGCCAGCUCGUCCG